AGCAGCUUCUGAAAUACUCGGAUCAGUCCAUCUGGAACAAUCAUGGCAUGUUCAGAGUUACUUAAAUCCCAUUUCUCUUCCAUCCAGAUGCUCACUUCACCACAUCUUCCUCAAUGUACUUCCUGCUUUGUUAAUUUAAUCAUUCACAGUUUGUGUUAAACAGCGAGACAAGUGUACCCAGUAACGUGACCAGUGAGGGUAUAUCUCGAGUUGUUUAAUUUUUGUUUCUACAAACACAAGUUUGAUUUCCUGUGGUUCUGACCAGCUACAGUAUCUUCGUAUAAAAUUAUGGUUCCCUGUAAAGGCAGGGAAUCAAUCUUGUUAAAACCUGGUAAAACCGGACAUUAUUAUAAACCAGAUUAAGGUUCUGGUACAUGCUACUUGCAGUGAAACUGGUGCUAAAUGCAGAACUACGGAAGAAAUUGCCAUAAAAAUGGGUCAAAGGCAACUUUGGUCUCAUCAUUGGUUCUUCCUGAUUACUUUUUUGUUUCAUUUGCAUCCAUGCAAAUUAAACUGAUUCACAGUUGGAUAGUGAAUUGGACUAGCAGGGUAGUUCACUAAUUCCUUCCCCCUAAUUUUUUUAGCUGUGGUAGUGGGAGGGGUAGAGGUAUUAAAAGCAAUUAAUUAUCAAAUUUCUACUACAAAAGUGACAAAAGACCCUCCCUGUUUAAGCAACUUGUUCACGUAUCCAUAGCAUCUGCUUCAGUCCUUCAUUUCCCCGUCAGCGAGAGACAAAUGAAUAGAAAUGACUGCUUUGUGCUUUCAUGCAGCUGUCUCUCCAAGCGGCAUGAAACAUAUAUUUUUAGUCUCCCAUUUGUGAUUUUUGUAUCUGCAGAGCAGGGAGAGAAAAGGACACAGACACUUGAAUUGAGAAUUGCUGUGCUAAAACGCAACCCUUUUUUUUUCUCCCCGUAAGGCAGUCUGCUUGCUGUUUUCUGUUCUAGAAGGCACAAUUGGAAAGAUCAAUUUUAGGAAAGGGGCUUUUUUGAAAAAUGCCUUAGCUUUCAAAUAAAAAAUGGACGUUGUGUUAUGCAGAACGUAAGUGAAGUGUAACAGUAGCGACUUGUUAGGAUUGUUUUGUUAGUCGUAAUGGGGCAACAUCAAAUUUGUUUUUCUGUGUUCCUGCUGCAAAACAAGAAAAUCUUUUCUUGGCCCCAGCUUUCUGGACCCCCACCACUUCAGCUCUGCCCUGCGAGUGAGAGCACUUGACACGCCUGGGGCUCCUCACCUCCCUUUCCCCGCCUGUGUCUCCCCCUCGAGCUCGGUUCUCCUUGGCUGGAUGAAGGAGAUACAGAUUAAAUUAUUCUCUCCGUUCCA